GUUCUCUGCUCUUCUCGAAUUUUCAGAUCGGCCACACUCUCCAGAGUCCUUUGGGCUGGGCUUCAGCACAUGCCAUCUCUCCCUCUGAGGUACCUCCCCUCCUCUUCUGCUUUCUCAAGUUUAUGUUUAAACUCAUAUCUUCACAGAGUGUCUCCAUCUCCUACCAGUCUCUUAUUUCCUCAGCCUCUGUACUUCCUCUUUCAUAAUAUUUAUCACUCUUGUUUAGGGUCUGCUCCUCCAGCACCCUGUAAUUCCAGAAGGGCAGACUGGCAUCUGUUUUGUCCCAGUGCCUACCACAGUGUCUGCCACACAGAAGGGCCCUGAGAAAUAUGAAUGGAUUGGAGGAAGUUGGGAGAGACAACUCACUUACCUCUCUUGGUUCCAACUGAGACCAGAACUGGAGCCAUUAUGCUGACGACGAAAUCCCACCCCAUGCUUAAUCCGAAAGCCAUGCCCAGCCUCCAGAUAACAGGUGGACCAAAGUUAAAGAUAAGAAGACUUGGGGGAGAACAUAAGUGCCUUUUAAACACGACAAAAAGCUGUCACAUGGAAAAACUCAUGUGUGACCUUGGAGGCAGAACAAAGGUUAGUCGGUGGAAAUUACUAGAAGGCAGACUUCAAUGCACCAUAAAGAAUUAGAACUGUAUCACAAGCUUACAAGCUACCUGGGGUCCACUGACUUGGUAUUUAUCAUGCACCAAGUCAGACCAGGUGGCCUCUAACAUCUUUCAAGCACUAUUUGAAUGGCGAUGAAGACUUUGUCUUUCUUUGCCCUUUGCAAUGAACUGGCUUGAUCAAAUGUCAGUGGUUUGGAUUCAGACUUGAGUAGCCUUCAGUGUGUGCAUGUGGGAAAUCGAUGCAAACUCAAGGUCCUAGAGAGGGAAGAGCAGCCUGAAUAUUUGGAAUGGCUUGAAGGAGGAUCAUGGGCAUGCAAUCUGUGAGUCUCCGAUCCUGGAUCCCCAAACACAUCCAGCCUUCCUGUCCUCUAGUCUAAGGCAGUACUAUCCUAGUACUGCUGUCUACAGAUGAAGUGUGCCUGCUCCCAGCAUCUUCCCUGCCAACUACAUCUAAAUAAAUUGUCAAAAGACAGUCUCCAGUGUGUGUGGAGAAGAGCAGUGUGUGACUGACAGCACUCUCACCCCCACUGCCACCUACAGCAGCUCAGACAGGUGUCUCUCCAGUUCUUAUAGACCUUCAGGCAAGAGGAUUCAGGCACCUUCUUUCUUUUACCUCGUCAGAUGCUUCAUGAGAAUCCCAGAGACUUCACCGCCUCAAAUUUGCCAGUCACCAAGCCUAGGAGUCUGACUCUGAUGGUAGCCCCAAAAUAUGCCCACAUUGGGUUGGAGGAAAGUGAUCUCUCCCCCUGACAUCAACAUCAAAAGGUUAAGAACUUCCCCAAGGUCUCAUUUCCAUGAUGGGUUCAUUAGCUAUGGACUAAUUAAACCAGUCUUCUCAGUCCUGAUCCUCCAACAAUAUGUCCAGAAGAAACUUAUUAAAAGUCAACUGUUUUUACUCUA